ensembl:lncRNA ATP1A1-AS1 ATP1A1 antisense RNA 1
AAGCUCCCACCUGAGCGGCGCAUCCUCAGGGCCUGGGCCUGGCCUCCUUGCCUGUGAGAUGGCACUGUGACGGUGCCCACCUCGUGGGGUGUGUGAGGGCCGAGUGAAAUCGUGCAUUUGCGGAGAAGAAAGGAAGGAGAGCUGAGUGUGGUGAAAAAAGUGAAGAGUGCUGGCUUUGGAAGCAUGUAUGCUAAAAUUGGAACCACACAGAGAUGACCAUGACCCCUGUGCAAGGAUGCUGUGCAAAUUCAUGAAGCAUUCCGUAUUUUUAUAAGAAAUGCCCAUGACCUUCAUCGCAGCAGCGUAUGUGCGUUGGUCUUCUCCAGGGAUGCCGAAAGUAGACAUACAGGGAGUCGCAGUACGGAUACCACCAGUGCCAGCCUGACCUCACAAGAGACGUCUUGUGUGACUGGCCCUGCCGUCACAGCUGGGCCAGUAAAGUACCUUCCAGGAGGCUCCAGUUGCUACCUGACUCACAACCUUCUAAUCCCAUGAUCUUUUAGUUCUAGUUUCCUUAUCUUGGUCUGAGCAAAUGGCUCAUUUUAAAGAUGACUUGCAGACAAAUGUAGAGAUCAUCCCAGGGG